rnacentral:rRNA from 1 species
UACGAGGGGUCCUAGCGUUGUUCGGAAUCAUUGGGCGUAAAGAGCUCGUAGGUGGCUUAGUAAGUCAGGUGUGAAAGCCCAAGGCUCAACCUUGGAAGUGCACUUGAAACUGCAUAGCUUGAGUACGGUAGAGGUGAGUGGAAUUCCUGGUGUAGUGGUGAAAUACGUAGAUAUCAGGAGGAACAUCGGUGGCGAAGGCGGCUCACUGGACCAGUACUGACACUGAGGAGCGAAAGCAUGGGGAUCAAACAGG